rnacentral:lncRNA from 1 species
CCUUGAAGUAGAAAGUCUCCUAGAACAUAUCGUCAGGCCAGAUCCAGAGAAGACAGUGGAAAACACAGUGAAUUCAUAGUAGAAGUUGCCCACUAUGUCAGGUUAACUAUAUAUUCGAUUAGAGCCCUGCAAUGUUUCCUCGUUGAGGCACUAGUCUCAGGUAGGAAAUCUCACCCAAGUGGAGAAAAGUGGAGCCCCAGAAAGGGGUGG